UGUGUGACUCGGGGCGGUGUGUCUGCCUGUGGCGGGGUGGGGGGGGAAUGUGGCUGUUUUACGGAGCCUUUGCAAACCCUAACCCCGGCACGCAGACCCAGCCGAAAAGCCAGCUACAGAAAUGACCAAAGCUGCCAGAGAAGCACCUUAUACAAAAGCAAGACUGUCUAGAGAAGAGACAAAGCUCAGUGUUCCAGGUUCUUAUCUUUCAAAGGCUUAUGACAGGAGUCCAUAAUAACCUGUGUCAUUUGGAAAUAGUUAACCUGAGGAUCCCACCUGUUUUCCAUGGCAAAAUGACCCCAGAUGUAUUUUUAUUAAGGACACAAAGGAUUCAGAAGCCUGCAAAUUUUCUUCAAGAAACAUAAUACUCCAAUUUGCAUAUCUAAUAGAAGUAAACAGUAACUGUAUAUACAUGUUAUUUUCCUUGCACAGAUGACAGCUAGAGGAGAGCUGAAUUCCAGGUUCAGACACCUAAAUCUGGUUGUCUACAAUGCAAACAUUUACAUUUAAGCUAGAAGUUUAAGCUCCCAUUAUGUUUACUUGUUUAAAAUUAAGUUUCUGGUGCUAUUACAGAUGUCUUGGGCUAAGAAAUUGUUGUGGGGCUGGACAUACAUGUCAGGACAUACAUGAAGCCCUGUACUCUCUGGAAGGGCAGAUGAAGGCCAGACAACAUAGCCCAGAGUACUUGACAAAGAUAACUAAACUCAGUCCUAGUAAAUGCUUCUAGAGAAGUUUGAUGAUCAGACAUACAGGUCUACUUUUGAAUAAACUGAACUGCUCUCUUGCCUGCACUGACCAUGUUCAUUUGGAUUCCACUGACUCCAAUCAAAACCUAAACACAGCCCACAUGUAGACAACUAAUUUUAGGAGACUGCAUCCAACACUGAGACCUACUCCUGAUAUCCUAGUUGCCAUAAUAUAUGCUGCUAUUACAGUAAUCAGUGUGCUUCUGGUUCAACCAGGGUUAAACUACCUUGUCCAUUUUGCGCGGUAUGGUGGUUUCAUUUAAAUGGUGGUGGGCAGGACAGCAAGAGUAAUGGGCAGGUGUGAUUACAUGGGUGAUGUAUCGCUUUGUGUUUUGCUUCAGUGAGUUCUUUGAGAUCCAUAUGGACAAUGUUUAGCUAAAGCUGCUACCUUGCUCCCUAGCUAGAGGAAUCUCUGGCUACUGGUGUUGGUUUUUCCCCUUGCUUAGGAGAAUUGAAGCUUUGCCUCCUUUUCCUGCUCUCCUUUUUCCCUGUCCCUGUUCCCUGACAGAACAUCUAGCAUACUGUCAUGGUGCUCUUUUCAGAGCUGUAUGUUUUUUGGGCAUGGUCAGCUUUGUAAGAAAGACUGCACCAACUCUGUUGUUAGAGCCUUUUGGCUGGAGCCCUCUAAUCCUAGAAGUCACUCCUGAGUAUCUCUGGCUAUAGAGACACAAUUCAGGAUGUUGCCAAAAUACUGUGACCAUUUUAGGAAGUAGGUAGGAACAAAAGCAUGUGCAGACUUGGAAGUUCAUUAAUAAUCAUGGCCAGUUGGGCCCUCUAUCCUGAUCUUGCAUUAGUGCUAAAAAGGUAAGCUAAGAAAUGAUCCAGGACCAAGUUCUUUGCUGCUACAAAUCAUGAUUUUGGUUUGCUCUGGCAGUUAUCUUGGUUGAGAUCAAACCUCAAGCGUUACUUCAGAUAAUGUAUACAAUUAUUAGCAUAAGUUUUCCUUAUGUAUACAAUUAUUAGCAUAUGUUUUCCUUAUUUGUGUGUGGAAACUCCCAACCUCACUUCUGGAAGCCAUGGCUUUGAACAGCAUACAACAAACCAGCACUAUUUAAGCUACAGUCUCAGGGCAGUUAACUGGAGGGGCUGAAAGAGUCUGUGCCUGGGAAAAGGACCUCUCAAAGUAGUUUCUCUUCAAGUGAACUGACUCAGAUCUGUCAGGAACGAACCUCUGCUUUUAUUGUAUUUCCUGUUUCAUUUGUAUGCUGCUUACUUAAGGGUGUGGAUAUGGUGUUUGCUUCCAAAAGGAGAGUUAAUGCAUGUGCAAAAUGACUACUGUAGAUUGAAGGUCUUGGUCGCAGCUGGAUUACACAAGACAAACUUCGAUCUUCAGGAUCAUGGUGCUCCCUAAUUCUGUUUCUUCAGGUCUUUAAUUUCCUGGCAUUGCAAUUGCCUUAAAUCCAUUUUGGCACAGAAUACACCAUUAUUUCAUAUUGUGCUAUUGUACUUUCCUGCUUUCAUCCAUAUGAGCCAGGAGUAAAUAAGAGUUGGCAACUUCAUACUUGACUAUUAUAUAGCAGAGUACACUUUAAUCAGCACCCUAAUAAAUAGCACGCCCAAUUAAUUGGGACAUUUGCCAACAAACCAGUUCACUUCCCUGCACUUCAGUGGCUGUAAAUGAUGGAUAACUAGCAUGCUCACUGUUGUCUGCAAGCAUAUUUGUUGUAAUUAACAGGUAUGAUUUGGUGUUCGCUGGCAUGUGUUUCCUCAGUAGCACUCUGCUCAUUUUUGAGUAGGCUCCCUGUUCCAAUGCAGCUGCUAAAAAUAAAUAAAAAGACAAUUUUCCCUUGCUUUAAUCAAUGUAGUGCUUUUCUAUAAAAAAACCCUAUGUAUUUUUAUGUAUUAAAUUUCUAUAUGGUUUUGACAAUAAAAGUCAUAAUUUAAUUAGCACGUUUCUAUUUUAAAUAGUACAGCAAACAGAGCUUUGCCAUACCAUAGGACAAUUUAUAAUAAAGGGAAGGCUUUCUGCUGCAGCUUUCUAACAGUACCUUUUCUAACAGGGAUUGCAUGGUGGAUUGCUUUAAAGUGGUAUUUCCUUGAGGGAGAUACACAGAAAUACAAUCUAUUUUCUGAAACUGGCAUAUGCUAUUAUUUACUGUAUGCA